UACAUUACACUAAAUCAUUGUGUAUCCCUCCGUGGUCCAUUCGAAAGUAGUGCCUAUUUCUAAAGAGUUCCUUUUCUCUUCUUGAAUAUAAGCCAUUUAACAAUGUGAGACAUGUCUUUUGUGGUUAUUUGUAAUAUCCUGUAUGUGUCUGGAGUACUUUGAUGCCUUGGAUUGGAAGCUAACUUAAAAGAUGAACUUUUGAGGGUGUGUUUUCUAUUGUGUGGGGCUUUUGUCGAAAUUAGGAUUCCGAAACACGUUUUUCUACGGUGGGUUCAUUCGACAGCGAUUUACUUUCUUAGAAGUUGCGAGACGGUAUGUUUUUGAUUGCAAUUAUUGGAAGAUGACAGAUCCAUCUUUAAAAUGAUACCAGGUUCGGAAAAAUUGAUACGUCGGAAAGGCAAGAAAAAUGCUGUGAAAGUUGUCAGUUUUAUAAUGGGACCCUAUGGGAAUCGGAAUUAGUGUAAUAUAACCUUUAAAAAGCACAUUUGCUGCAAUGUCAAGGUCACAUGGAUUCGUCUGCAAGCGAGACAAGUAGAAAAUGAAUUUUAAUGAAUGUUUUGAUGAUUUGGGUGAUAAAAUAGAUGAGAGGUGUCAAAAUUUUGGUCCAAAUGGAUGUUUUAGGUGGUUUUGGACUGUUCCGGAUGGGUGGGGGACCUGGUAUGGACAAGUAAGGGUAAUAUUUUCAACAAAUCUUAAAUGUAAAUAUUAUUAUGUCCAUAGAUUGAAGUUUCAGGUGGAGAGCAAGAUGAAAAAUAUGCAAAAUUACAUGCAUGCAACCCAUUUAUGCCAUUUUUCUCUUUGUUUGUAGGCCUGACCGUUUGUCCUUGAGCCGUAGAUGGUCAACAAUCCGCUAGCUGUCUUGCUCUGACUGGUGCACUGGACAUGAUUUCAAUAGUCAGCCAGACCAUGAUUGAGCUUAAGGGUUGUGCUGCGGAUGCAGCCUGUGCAGUUCCGGGAGAAAGUCACUGUCUCGGGCAAUGCGGUCUGGUAUCAGGUCUGGAUGAUCCUUGCCUGACUGCGGGUUUGUGUACACCUCAAUCCGACUCUGUGUCCUGAACAGAGGCCGCAGUGGUGCAGCGCUUGUGGACGAUCCAUCAACAUCCUGAAAGGUCAACACUACACCAAGCUGGGAAAAUUGAUCCUGAUAGUCAUCCCCAGGUAGUGGAAUGAAUGUUCACUGAACUACAGAGGAAUCACACCCAAAUGACUUUCCUGCCACGACAUUAGUGUGGCCACUCGCGUAGGAAUUCCUUAGCAAACAUGCUCUUUUGCAUGGUGACUGUGGACAUUUUUGCAAAACUUACGCUUUCAACACUGGAUUUUAAAGAGAAUACUUAAUAAAAUGUCGCUAACAGGACUUAUUUAUAUGAGAGAGACUAUCUGGAUGCGCAUUAAGUGUCACUUUGUGUCGUAAGCUGUUGAAGGAGCGAUUUGCGCCUUUUUAAGUGUUAAUUUUGGGUAGCCGGCUUGUAUCGGCUUGAAAGCUGAAAAUUAUGCCUCUCAUCAUAAUAGCAUUAAUUUUUGUAAUUACAAUGUGUAUGUUUAGAUUGUAAGUGAAGCUUUUAAUAAUAAUUUUCUUAAAAAACAUGAUUUUAUA